rnacentral:rRNA from 1 species
GACGUAGGGCGCGAGCGUUGUCCGGAUUUAUUGGGCGUAAAGAGCUCGUAGGCGGUUUGUCGCGUCUGCUGUGAAAACUCGAGGCUCAACCUCGGGCUUGCAGUGGGUACGGGCAGACUAGAGUGCGGUAGGGGUGACUGGAAUUCCUGGUGUAGCGGUGGAAUGCGCAGAUAUCAGGAGGAACACCGAUGGCGAAGGCAGGUCACUGGGCCGCAACUGACGCUGGAGGAGCGGAAAAGCAUGGGGAGCGAACAGG